GACGAACGCUGGCGGCGUGCUUAACACAUGCAAGUCGAACGGAAAGGCCCUGCUUGCAGGGUACUCGAGUGGCGAACGGGUGAGUAACACGUGGGUGAUCUGCCCUGCACUUCGGGAUAAGCCUGGGAAACUGGGUCUAAUACCGGAUAGGAGCCAUUUUUAGUGUGAUGGUUGGAAAGUUUUUUUCGGUGUAGGAUGAGCUCGCGGCCUAUCAGCUUGUUGGUGGGGUAAUGGCCUACCAAGGCGGCGACGGGUAGCCGGCCUGAGAGGGUGGACGGCCACAUUGGGACUGAGAUACGGCCCAGACUCCUACGGGAGGCAGCAGUGGGGAAUAUUGCACAAUGGGCGCAAGCCUGAUGCAGCGACGCCGCGGGGGGGAGGACGGCCUUCGGGUUGUAAACUCCUUUCGCUAGGGACGAAGCUUUUUGUGACGGUACCUAGAUAAGAAGCACCGGCUAACUACGUG
rnacentral:rRNA from 1 species